CCAGAGAACUUAGCAGAGAUGCUUUGGUGCCUUCGGGAACUCUGAGACAGGUGCUGCAUGGCUGUCGUCAGCUCGUGUUGUGAAAUGUUGGGUUAAGUCCCGCAAGAGCGCAACCCUUAUCCUUUGUUGCCAGCGGCUCGGCCGGGAACUCAAAGGAGACUGCCGGUGAUAAACCGGAGGAAGGUGGGGAUGACGUCAAGUCAUCAUGGCCCUUACGGCCAGGGCUACACACGUGCUACAAUGGCGCAUACAAAGAGAAGCGACCUCGCGAGAGCAAGCGGACCUCACAAAGUGCGUCGUAGUCCGGAUUGGAGUCUGCAACUCGACUCCAUGAAGUCGGAAUCGCUAGUAAUCGUAGAUCAGAAUGCUACGGUGAAUACGUUCCCGGGCCUUGUACACACCGCCCGUCACACCAUGGGAGUGGGUUGCAAAAGAAGUAGGUAGCUUAACCUUCGGGAGGGCGCUUACCACUUUGUGAUUCAUGACUGGGGUGAAGUCGUAACAAGGUAAGCGUAGCGAG
rnacentral:rRNA from 1 species